rnacentral:sRNA from 1 species
GGAAUCUUUGGCUGAUUUGAAACAAACAAAUUGUAUGGUUUUUGUAUGAAUUAGCGUGUACUCAAAUUAUGAACUAUGCAACUCCAUAUAACCUAUUUCCGAUUGUGUAGAUCGUCAAAAUAUGUACCAAUUUUGUAUUUUUGUUAUGAGAUAUAUGUAGCAAAUUUCAGAAAACAAACUUCUUACUACUAAUAUCUCAAUGGAGUUGAGCUGAGCAUAGUUCCGAAUUAUGAAGUAAAUCGCCGUGUUUUGCUUGAUCAAUAUGUCUUGGGAGUGGUCAAAAUCUUGGAUGAAUUUGUUUUAGAUGAGACGAAGACUCAACUCCAUCGAGAUAUUCCUUCAUCAAAUCGAAAUCAGAAUUGAUUACAGUGAGCAAUUGGAGAACGUGGGAGAUCAAUGGAUCUGCAAUCUGCAUGUUCCACGGCUAAGGAAAGGGUGGUGGGUUUCUAUCUCUUGGAAGAUGGAAAAACGAAAGUAUAUCCUUAAUUUCGUCUGCAAUAUGUUGCACAACAACACAAAUGCGUUUCAUUGCGGCGGAGGAGCUCUCUGGAUAUCGCUGAGAAUGAGAUUAUUUCGCUCAGUUUCCGAACGGCGUAAGAAAAAUGCCUAAAAUUAGCUAUUAAAGAUGAUGACCAAUGAAGCAAACCUAGAGAUUGUUGUUGACAAGACUUCUGAUAGCAUGUAAGUCAAGAUUGCACAAAUACCAUACACCCAUCUUUUUCUUCGCCAAUCCAAAGAGAUGACAUAGCUCAAUCGUCCAAGGUUUAAAUCUAGCGAUGGGAAGAGAAUCAAAUUUUCGUCCGAAAAGUCCCUUUUUCCCUUAGCCGAAGCCAAUAAUUCCCCCUCUCAAAUAGAAGUGAAUAAAUGUUUAAUUUUUAAUCGAAAAAUUUGGAUAUUACUAUCAUAUCUCCAUCCUAACCUAACAAUUACACCCAAAACCAUGGUUCGUAGCCGAACCUCUUCAUCCGAACCACCUUUACUCUCUUUUGAAAAUCAAAUCCCUAAUAUUUCGUGAUAUUUGUUAUUCAGAUUCUUCUUCUUGUAAUUGUUAAGCUUUACGAUCUAUAAUUUCGAACUCUCUUUAUAACUUACUAUGUACCUUUGUAACAGUUAGAGACUUUCAAAUUAUGUAAUAC